rnacentral:rRNA from 1 species
UGGGGAAUAUUGCACAAUGGGCGCAAGCCUGAUGCAGCCAUGCCGCGUGUGUGAAGAAGGCCUUCGGGUUGUAAAGCACUUUCAGCGAGGAGGAAGGUGGUGAACUUAAUACGUUCAUCAAUUGACGUUACUCGCAGAAGAAGCACCGGCUAACUCCGUGCCAGCAGCCGCGGUAAUACGGAGGGUGCAAGCGUUAAUCGGAAUUACUGGGCGUAAAGCGCACGCAGGCGGUUUGUUAAGUCAGAUGUGAAAUCCCCGGGCUCAACCUGGGAACUGCAUUUGAAACUGGCAAGCUAGAGUCUCGUAGAGGGGGGUAGAAAUUCCAGGUGUAGCGGUGAAAUGCGUAGAGAUCUGGAGGAAUACCGGUGGCGAAGGCGGCCCCCCUGGACGAAGACUGACGCUCAGGUGCGAAAAGCGUGGGGAGCAAAACAGGAUUAGAUACCCUGGUAGUCCACGCUGUAAAACGAUGUCGAUUUUGGAGGUUGUGCCCUUGAGGCGUGGCUUCCGGAGCUAACGCGUU